GGUCUGAGAGGAUGAUCAGUCACACUGGAACUGAGACACGGUCCAGACUCCUACGGGAGGCAGCAGUGGGGAAUAUUGGACAAUGGGCGAAAGCCUGAUCCAGCCAUGCCGCGUGUGUGAAGAAGGUCUUCGGAUUGUAAAGCACUUUAAGUUGGGAGGAAGGGCAGUAAGUUAAUACCUUAGCUGUUUUGACGUUACCAACAGAAUAAGCACCGGCUAACUUCGUGCCAGCAGCCGCGGUAAUACGAAGGGUGCAAGCGUUAAUCGGAAUUACUGGGCGUAAAGCGCGCGUAGGUGGUUCAGCAAGUUGGAUGUGAAAUCCCCGGGCUCAACCUGGGAACUGCAUCCAAAACU
rnacentral:rRNA from 1 species